rnacentral:rRNA from 1 species
GAUGAACGCUAGCGGCAGGCCUAAUACAUGCAAGUCGGACGGGAUUCAGGUGCUUGCUUCUGAUGAGAGUGGCGCACGGGUGCGUAACACGUAUGUAACCUACCUUUAUCAUGUUGAUAGCCUCUCGAAAGAGAGAUUAAGCCCGCAUAAAAUCACAGCACAGCAUUGUGUAAUGAUCAAAUAUUUAAAGGAUAAAGAUGGGGAUGCGGAACCUUAGCUUGGUGGCGGGGUAACGGCCCACCAUGGCGACGAUGUUUAGGGGAUCUGAGAGGAUGGCCCCCAAGAAUGGUACUGAGAUACGGACCAGAGUCGUACGGGAGGCAGCAGUAAGGAAUAGUGGUCAAUGGGAGGAAGCCCGAACCAGCCAUGCCGGGUGCAGGAAGACGGCCGUACGGGUUGUAAACUGCUUUUAUACGGGAAUAACCCCAGAUACGUGUAUCUGGCUGAAGGUACUGUAAGAAUAAGGAGCGGCUAACUCCGUG